CAUGCAAGUCGGACGGUAGCACAGAGGAGCUUGCUCCUCGGGUGACGAGUGGCGGACGGGUGAGUAAUGUCUGGGAAACUGCCCGAUGGAGGGGGAUAACUACUGGAAACGGUAGCUAAUACCGCAUAACGUCGCAAGACCAAAGUGGGGGACCUUCGGGCCUCACACCAUCGGAUGUGCCCAGAUGGGAUUAGCUGGUAGGCGGGGUAACGGCCCACCUAGGCGACGAUCCCUAGCUGGUCUGAGAGGAUGACCAGCCACACUGGAACUGAGACACGGUCCAGACUCCUACGGGAGGCAGCAGUGGGGAAUAUUGCACAAUGGGCGCAAGCCUGAUGCAGCCAUGCCGCGUGUAUGAAGAAGGCCUUCGGGUUGUAAAGUACUUUCAGCGGGGAGGAAGGUGCUGAGGUUAAUAACCUCAGCAAUUGACGUUACCCGCAGAAGAAGCACCGGCUAACUCCGUGCCAGCAGCCGCGGUAAUACGGAGGGUGCAAGCGUUAAUCGGAAUUACUGGGCGUAAAGCGCACGCAGGCGGUCUGUUAAGUCAGAUGUGAAAUCCCCGGGCUUAACCUGGGAACUGCAUUUGAAACUGGCAGGCUUGAGUCUCGUAGAGGGGGGUAGAAUUCCAGGUGUAGCGGUGAAAUGCGUAGAGAUCUGGAGGAAUACCGGUGGCGAAGGCGGCCCCCUGGACGAAGACUGACGCUCAGGUGCGAAA
rnacentral:rRNA from 1 species